UUUUCCUCUUCUUUCUCCGUUUCUGUUUCUCUUUCUUUGCCCUUCCCCCUUUCCUCCUCUUCGUCAUCACUGAUAAUAAUCUCUUCGACUGAAGGGCGGGAAGGAGGAAAAGACGAGGGAGAGGUGUGGGAAGGAGAGGGGGAAGGGAAAGUCAAAAGGCAGUAUUUUGGUUCUGUUGGGAUGAACUUUGCUGAAAAAAUUACGUUUUCCAGCUCAAAAAAAGGAAAAGAAGACGUGUUCCAGUUUU
rnacentral:ribozyme from 13 species